rnacentral:lncRNA from 1 species
CGUCAACGAGCUUACCUCUUGCUCGUCCCUGAGCAAGGAUGGAUUCAAGAGUUUCUGAAGUGGUUUCAUGCCUUAAAGGUACACAUGCGUUCAAACAAGAUCUCAUCUCCGGGUUAGGGUAAACUGUUAUGACUUAAAACUUACUCAUUUAUCUUUCACCAUGGGGCUUGCAACCGUCACUUAUGUCCUGAGUAGUUAAAAGAUAGAAUGGUCAAGUCAAGAGCCAUGUCUUUGUUUUUGAUCAACUAUAGCUCUGGAGUUUUUGUAGAUUUUCAAAAUAAAACUAAGAGAUUCCUAUAUGAGUCUCUCUAGUCUCUCUUUUGUGGUAUUUCUGGAUCCUUACCAAGGCAGUGAUGGUAUAUGCCUUCUCUCAAAACAUGUGGUAUUUUUGGUACGAGGCAUAGUGACAUUGCCUUCUCUCUCACCCUACUCUAAUAACGUUUUGAUAUCUGGAGCUCAUAGGUGGGAGACAGCUAAUACAUACUUAGAAGUCAUUUAUUGCAUAGUCAAACCAUGGAUCCAGAGAAACAAGUCAAUAAGUCAAUAUCAAGAUGUGCAUGUGUGGCGAAUGAAUGGUGUAUGGUGAUGAUGGUUAAAACAAUGGUGAAAGUCUAAUUCUACUUUUGCUCUUUUGAGGGGAUACAUACCUUUCUUGUAUUUUGAAGCUUUUUGAGGGGAAUGAGAUGCUCUAAAUUUUCUUUUUCUUUUCUCUCAGGUGGGUAUAUUGUACCCCUAAUUCUACUGUUGGACACUUGUCCAUUUUUACCUCUCGUCUCACUUUUUCUUUUCUUCGAGGUUCUGGGCACUUGCCCCUUUUUAUUUCCUAGUAUUCACUUUUUUUUAGAGCACUCACCCUCCUGGAAUAAUGUGGCAAGUGGUAGUAACCAAAAUAUCUCGAGCAUUUAUUUCAUGGGGAAUAACAGGGAUAGGAUAAUGUUUUUGGCUAUUCUCUCCCGGAUAGGAGUAGAAUAAUUUUGGGUGAAUCUGGAGAUGGAAAUGAGUGGUUGUAUGUGGAUGCGUACUUUCGGAGUAGAAGCAGCAUGUAUGAGUGAACGUGCAAGUGAAUCUUGAUUUUAACCGCAUGACAAGCUCCUAAGGGUCCACACAGCUUGACCACACUCAAUGCUCAUAAGUAGUAAAAAGUAAAUUUAUGGUUCAUAGUCUAAUAAGCAUGUAUAUAUGGCUGUGGUAGGAUUUUAAACUCUCAUCAUACAGGAACUCAUCAUGCAACAUUUAAAAGAUUUUCAAAGAUAAAAUUCUCUAGAAUUCUAGCAUCUCUAGGAACAGAUAAACAGCAGCUCUACCUUCCCAUAUCAUAUCCGUUAAUGACUUAGACUUUAGAUCAAGUACUCUUCCCACAAGUUCUGGUUUAGAGCAAAUCUUAAUUCAUAACAAUCAUGCCUAAACUUGAGAGAGAAUUCAAUUUUGAGAACUAGUCAUGGCAGAGCAACUAUUCAUCAUUUCCAUGUGAGAGCUUAUCAUGAGGGUUCAUAGCAAACUUUAUUUAUUUAUUUAUUUAGCAAACUAAGCAAAGAUAUAUAUAUAAGCACAAAAUCCUUAUUUUUGGGUUUUAUGAUUAUGCAUCUUUUUAUUAUUUGAGUAAAGUAUAAACAUGAGUAAAAACACUUAGCUAGAUAAAUGGGGGUGCUCUCCCCCAAGCUGGAUUAUGACGUAAUUUCUUCUGAUGAAGCUAGCAGGUGGUGGAGGUAUAUUUGAAUGUCGGCAGCACCUUGACAGCAAUUAGGGUGUCCUCCGUCUGCUAGUCUUCUUUGAUCGUUGAAUUCUGUGGAGCUCAAAUAGACAACAAAGCUUUGUGGAACUGGUUAUGUGUUAGCAUAAAUAUCUAGCCUUUAUCAUGUUGAGCCUCCUCUAAUAAAUAUUACUCUCUUUGGUAGGAUCAUAAAUUUAUUUUUAUAUUUUCAUUUUUAUAGGACAGGAAUAUUUUUAUUUUAUUUUUACGCCACCACAGUGAAUGUAGUUAUGGGUUUUAUGCCACGAGCAUACUCACAUGGGGCUUACUAUUUUUAACAUUUUUAUUUUCUUUUCAAGAUAGCAUGAUUAACUAACAAGCCAUUUAAGGAAAGUAAAUAAUUAAAGGGAAAAGGGAAUGUAGAAAAGAUAAAUAUGGAUAACUAACGAUUUUACCUUUCGGCGAGGGUUCAAUGUUUUAUGUCUUCUGAACAAGACUUCUCACCGUGUUCAUUCUUUAGGUGCAUCAUUUGAUUCAAGUGCGGACCUUGAUGUCUGCACCUCUUGAUACGGUGUCACCCAUGUUCUUCGUUUGCCCAGCAGUUCGAAGUGCGGAGUUGGGAGCAUCCUGCUCAGUGUGUUUGUGCUUGUAGAUCCAGGUCCUUCACUUGAUUGAAUCUGGGAGUUGUAAAACUCCACCAUGUUUUUCUCCAAGUGUACCUACUCAUAGAGAUAAGACAGAGAUCAAGUGCAUGGGCCCUGUUGGUGGAAAACACCAACAGAACCAAAAGUGUAUUUGUUCUUCACUAACCUUAAGCAUGGUGAGCAAGACAAAUUUGAUGGAUAAUAAGAUCAUGAGUGUAGUAUUUAAAACAUUUGUCAGAUCAUAUCGCUCAACCUUAUGGAAAGAUAAUCUAUCUAUGUAUAUGUCUUUUUCUUUAUAUCUUCCCAAAGAUUGAAUGUGCAACAUUUUAGCUCAUAUGAUUAGGAGUGUGGGAUCAUGGAGGUAGUACUAGGAACAAAGAUUAAAGGACUAAACAUGCUGAAUCAAUUGGGUUGGUUAAUCUAGAAUUGUAAAUCAUACAUGUUUUAUCUCUUUUAUUCAUGUGAACGCCAGGACCAAGGAGAAGCUCAUAAAAGUGAUAGUCACAUAUCUUAAGAUGUUACCUUCAUUGAAGAGUGAUGGUACCAUCUCACCUUGUGGAAGCUUCCCAUUCGUAGUGGCGGUGUAUCUUGUUUAUGUACUUUGUCUCCUUCCAUGUAUCAUCUCUCUAUGAUGAAUGAGCUAUGUCCUUCUUGUGCAAAUUGUUAAACUUCAUGUGUCUCUCUCUUCAUCUCUCUUGUGAGUUUAUCUCAGGACUUCCCAAAUCGAUAUUGAAAAUUUUUCUGCAGGGGUUAGUCCGACAAAAUAUACCAAUGUCUACACAAGCAGUUUUUAGUUCAAUAACCGAACUAGACUCUAUGUCUAAUCAGAUUAAGGAAGGCUAUUUAAUCUAAGCACCGUGCUUAAUUUAAAAGCCAACAGAAGUAUGUGCAGUACUUCCAAACUAACACUUAGUAGGAUAAACAAAGGUAGCGUGAUGGCAUUAUAGAGAUCU